rnacentral:rRNA from 1 species
UACGGAGGAUGCAAGCGUUAUCCGGAAUCAUUGGGCGUAAAGCGUCCGCAGGUGGCUAGUCAAGUCUGCUGUUAAAGACAGAAGCUCAACUUCUGGUCGGCAGUGGAAACUGGCAAGCUUGAGUAUGGUAGGGGUUGAGGGAAUUCCCAGUGUAGCGGUGAAAUGCGUAGAUAUUGGGAAGAACACCAGUGGCGAAGGCGCUCAACUGGGCCAUAACUGACACUCAGGGACGAAAGCUAGGGUAGCGAAAGGG